rnacentral:misc_RNA from 1 species
UUUCCGUAGGUGAACCUGCGGAAGGAUCAUUACUGUAAAUAGGGCCCUAAAAAAGCCCGAAACCCCCUUGGUGAACGAAAACACGUAUGCCGCAAGGCGCACUGUUUUUUAACCAUACUGAAUUACUGAUCAUCCUUGAAGCCAAUUUGACUUCAUUGUAAGAAAUAAAAACAACUUCUAACAACGGAUGUCUUGGCUCUCGCAUCGAUGAAGAACCAGC